GACGAACCGUGCAAACGUUGUUCGGAAUCACUGGGCUUAAAGGGCGCGUAGGCGGGCGGUCAAGUCAGGGGUGAAAUCUUUCGGCUCAACCGGAAAAGUGCCCUUGAUACUGACGGUCUGGAGGGAGGUAGGGGCGUGCGGAACUUCCGGUGGAGCGGUGAAAUGCGUAGAUAUCGGAAGGAACACCGGUGGCGAAAGCGGCGCGCUGGACCUCUACUGACGCUGAGGCGCGAAAGCCAGGGGAGCAAACGGG
rnacentral:rRNA from 1 species